rnacentral:rRNA from 1 species
UACAGAGGGUGCAAGCGUUGUUCGGAAUUACUGGGCGUAAAGGGUUCGUAGGUGGCCACUUAAGUCAGACGUGAAAUCCCUCAGCUUAACUGGGGAACUGCGUCUGAUACUGCGUGGCUUGAGUGCAGGAGAGGAAUGCGGAAUUCCAGGUGUAGCGGUGAAAUGCGUAGAUAUCGGGAGGAACACCAGUGGCGAAGGCGACUACCUGGCCUGUUCUUGACGCUGAGGCGCGAAAGCUAGGGGAGCAAACGGG